UGGUGCGACGGCUGCAAUGGAAAUACUGAGCUUUUGUAUUGCUGAUCUAGGAAAUGCAUUUCUUGUUCCGUCACCAUACUACCCUGGGGGAAGUUCAAAAGGACCGCGCGCUGGAGCUCCUAAACGUGCGCCCCUUCUACUUCGUUUACUUAUGUGGCGUGAAGACAUAAAUCAAACCUUUGGAGCCAUAGUUGUCUUUUUUGUCAUCUAAAAUAAUAAUGGUAACAUAUUAAUACAAACAAAAUAAUAUUCUAGCUCAAAAAAUUGUAUGUGAACAAUGAAUGGAUGCUAUGGAACUAUAUUUGUUAUGGAGCUAUGUAUGUAUGGAUGCUA